rnacentral:rRNA from 6 species
UGACCUCGGAUCAGGUAGGGA